GGCUCCUGCGGGGCAGCCGCUCCUUGCGCCUCUGCGGCGCGAGGGGAGGAAAGUCCGAACGCGCCCAAGGCGUUUGCCUUGGAGCAGGGUAGCGGGUAACACCCGCCCGGCAUCCAGCUUGGUGAGGCGGUGCCGAGGGAUGCGAACAGAGACGCGCGAGCCUGAGAGGGGUCGCGGCGCGAGGCUCAACACGCAGCGCUUGCUUCUUGAGCCCUCGGAGGCAGGCGGUGAAACGGCUAAACUCCUACCCGCGCGCAAGGCCGCGCCUUCUUCUCGAAAGAGGGAGUGCCGCUUGAGGGGCGGGGCAACUCGCUUCCCAGAUAUAUGGCUGCCGUCGUGCCUUUUGGCGCGGGAACAGAAUUCGGCUUAUACGCAGGAGCGCCUC
rnacentral:RNase_P_RNA from 1 species